AGCAUGGUGUAGUGGUUUAAGUGUUGGACUUCAGCUCUAGAGACCAGGGUUCGAAUCUCUGCUUGGCCA